rnacentral:piRNA from 1 species
GAACUACUCCUGGACCUAGAUACCGCAC